GGCGCGAAAACUCUGCAAUGCAGGCAACUGCGACAGGGGAACAUCGAGUGGUCCUCAUAUUGGGGGCCUGUCCACCCGCCUAAAAAGCGGGUGUUAGCAAGGGCCGGGCAAGACCGGUGCCAGCCGCCGCGGUAAUACCGGCGGCUCGAGUGGUGGCCGAUAUUAUUGAGUCUAAAGGGUCCGUAGCCGGCUUCGCAAGUCUCUCGGGAAAUCCAGCGGCUUAACCGUUGGUCGUCCGGGGGGUACUACGUUGCUUGGGACUGGGAGAGGUAGGAGGUACUCAGGGGGUAGGAGUGAAAUCCUGUAAUCCUUUGGGGACCACCGGUGGCGAAGGCGUCCUACCAGAACAGGUCCGACGGUGAGGGACGAAAGCUAGGGGCACGAACCGGAUUAGAUACCCGGGUAGUCCUAGCCGUAAACGAUGCUCGCUAGGUGUCACAACAGUCGUGAACUGUUGUGGUGCCGCAGGGAAGCC
rnacentral:rRNA from 1 species